AUGGAGACCUGUAUGAAUGGCAUCACGAGGGCUUAACUGUCUCCCCUCCCCAGUCAAUGAAAUUGAUCUCCCCGUGCAGAAGCGGGGAUAAUACCAUAAGACGAGAAGACCCUAUGGAGCUUUAGACGUCAGAGCAGCCCAUGUAAAGCACCCCUUAACAAAGGAAAAAACCAAAUGAAGCCUGCCCUAAUGUCUUUGGUUGGGGCGACCGCGGGGAAAUACAAAACCCCCAUGUGGAGUAGGAAUACACAUUCCUAAACCCAAGAGCUCCCGCUCUAAUGAACAGAAAUUCUGACCAAUAAGAUCCGGCACACGCCGAUCAACGGACCGAGUUACCCUAGGGAUAACAGCGCAAUCCCCUUAAAGAGCCCUUAUCGACAAGGGGGUUUACGACCUCGAUGUUGGAUCAGGACAUCCUAAUGGUGCAGCCGCUAUUAAGGGUUCGUUUG
rnacentral:rRNA from 1 species